GUGCUCGCUUCGGCUGCACAUAUACUAAAAUUGGAACGACACAGAGAAGAUUAGCAUGGCCCCUGC
rnacentral:snRNA from 1 species